ACUAACUGGAGGACCGAACCGACUAAUGUUGAAAAAUUAGCGGAUGACUUGUGGCUGGGGGUGAAAGGCCAAUCAAACCGGGAGAUAGCUGGUUCUCCCCGAAAGCUAUUUAGGUAGCGCCUCGUGAACUCAUCUUCGGGGGUAGAGCACUGUUUCGGCUAGGGGGUCAUCCCGACUUACCAACCCGAUGCAAACUACGAAUACCGAAGAAUGUUAUCACGGGAGACACACGGCGGGUGCUAACGUCCGUCGUGAAGAGGGAAACAACCCAGACCGCCAGCUAAGGUCCCAAAGUCAUGGUUAAGUGGGAAACGAUGUGGGAAGGCACAGACAGCCAGGAUGUUGGCUUAGAAGCAGCCAUCAUUUAAAGAAAGCGUAAUAGCUCACUGGUCGAGUCGGCCUGCGCGGAAGAUGUAACGGGGCUAAACCAUGCACCGAAGCUGCGGCAGCGACACUAUGUGUUGUUGGGUAGGGGAGCGUUCUGUAAGCCUGCGAAGGUGUGCUGUGAGGCAUGCUGGAGGUAUCAGAAGUGCGAAUGCUGACAUAAGUAACGAUAAAGCGGGUGAAAAGCCCGCUCGCCGGAAGACCAAGGGUUCCUGUCCAACGUUAAUCGGGGCAGGGUGAGUCGACCCCUAAGGCGAGGCCGAAAGGCGUAGUCGAUGGGAAACAGGUUAAUAUUCCUGUACUUGGUGUUACUGCGAAGGGGGGACGGAGAAGGCUAUGUUAGCCGGGCGACGGUUGUCCCGGUUUAAGCAUGUAAGCUGAUUGUCCAGGCAAAUCCGGAUAAUCAAGGCUGAGGUGUGAUGACGAGGCACUACGGUGCUGAAGUAACAAAUGCCCUGCUUCCAGGAAAAGCCUCUAAGCAUCAGGUAACAUCAAAUCGUACCCCAAACCGACACAGGUGGUCAGGUAGAGAAUACCAAGGCGCUUGAGAGAACUCGGGUGAAGGAACUAGGCAAAAUGGUGCCGUAACUUCGGGAGAAGGCACGCUGGUGUGUAGGUGAAGUCCCUGCGGAUGGAGCUGAGACCAGUCGAAGAUACCAGCUGGCUGCAACUGUUUAUUAAAAACACAGCACUGUGCAAACACGAAAGUGGACGUAUACGGUGUGACGCCUGCCCGGUGCCGGAAGGUUAAUUGAUGGGGUUAUCCGUAAGGAGAAGCUCUUGAUCGAAGCCCCGGUAAACGGCGGCCGUAACUAUAACGGUCCUAAGGUAGCGAAAUUCCUUGUCGGGUAAGUUCCGACCUGCACGAAUGGCGUAAUGAUGGCCAGGCUGUCUCCACCCGAGACUCAGUGAAAUUGAACUCGCUGUGAAGAUGCAGUGUACCCGCGGCAAGACGGAAAGACCCCGUGAACCUUUACUAUAGCUUGACACUGAACAUUGAGCCUUGAUGUGUAGGAUAGGUGGGAGGCUUUGAAGCGUGGACGCCAGUCUGCGUGGAGCCAACCUUGAAAUACCACCCUUUAAUGUUUGAUGUUCUAACGUUGGCCCCUGACCGGGGUUGCGGACAGUGUCUGGUGGGUAGUUUGACUGGGGCGGUCUCCUCCCAAAGCGUAACGGAGGAGCACGAAGGUUAGCUAAUCCUGGUCGGACAUCAGGAGGUUAGUGCAAUGGCAUAAGCUAGCUUGACUGCGAGCGUGACGGCGCGAGCAGGUGCGAAAGCAGGUCAUAGUGAUCCGGUGGUUCUGAAUGGAAGGGCCAUCGCUCAACGGAUAAAAGGUACUCCGGGGAUAACAGGCUGAUACCGCCCAAGAGUUCAUAUCGACGGCGGUGUUUGGCACCUCGAUGUCGGCUCAUCACAUCCUGGGGCUGAAGUAGGUCCCAAGGGUAUGGCUGUUCGCCAUUUAAAGUGGUACGCGAGCUGGGUUUAGAACGUCGUGAGACAGUUCGGUCCCUAUCUGCCGUGGGCGCUGGAGAAUUGAGGGGGGCUGCUCCUAGUACGAGAGGACCGGAGUGGACGCAUCACUGGUGUUCGGGUUGUCAUGCCAAUGGCACUGCCCGGUAGCUAAAUGCGGAAGAGAUAAGUGCUGAAAGCAUCUAAGCACGAAACUUGCCCCGAGAUGAGUUCUCCCUGAGACUU
rnacentral:rRNA from 1 species